rnacentral:rRNA from 1 species
CCUACGGGAGGCAGCAGUGGGGAAUAUUGCACAAUGGGGGAAACCCUGAUGCAGCAACGCCGCGUGAGUGAAGAAGUAUUUCGGUAUGUAAAGCUCUAUCAGCCGGGAAGAGAAUGACGGUACCUGACUAAGAAGCCCCGGCUAACUACGUGCCAGCAGCCGCGGUAAUACGUAGGGGGCGAGCGUUAUCCGGAUUUACUGGGUGUAAAGGGAGCGUAGACGGUUCUGCAAGUCUGAAGUGAAAGCGCGUGGCUUAACCGCGGAACGGCUUUGGAAACUGUGGAACUGGAGUGCGGGAGAGGCAAGCGGAAUUCCUAGUGUAGCGGUGAAAUGCGUAGAUAUUAGGAGGAACACCAGUGGCGAAGGCGACUAGCUGGACAGUAACUGACGUUGAGGCUCGAAAGCGUGGGGAGCAAACAGGAUUAGAUACCCGGGUAGUC